CAGUCGACGAUGAAGUCCUAGCUUGCUAGGAUGGAUUAGUGGCGCACGGGUGCAGUAAUAUAUAGUUAAUCUGCCCUACACAGAGGAACAACAGUUGGAAACGACUGCUAAUACCUCAUACUCCUAUUUGGCAUAAGUUAAAUAGGGAAAGUCUUUUCGGUGUAGGAUGAGACUAUAUCGUAUCAGCUAGUUGGUAAGGUAAUGGCUUACCAAGGCUAUGACGCGUAACUGGUCUGAGAGGAUGAUCAGUCACAUUGGAACUGAGACACGGUCCAAACUCCUACGGGAGGCAGCAGUAAGGAAUAUUGCGCAAUGGGGGAAACCCUGACGCAGCAACGCCGCGUGGAGGAUGACACUUUUCGGAGCGUAAACUCCUUUUAUCAGGAAAGAAUAAUGACGGUACCUGAUGAAUAAGCACCGGCUAACUCCGUGCCAGCAGCCGCGGUAAUACGGGGGGUGCAAGCGUUACUCGGAAUCACUGGGCGUAAAGGACGCGUAGGCGGAUUAUCAAGUCUUUUGUGAAAUCUAGUGGCUUAACCACUAAACUGCUUAGGAAACUGAUAGUCUAGAGUAGGGGAGAGGUAGAUGGAAUUCUUGGUGUAGGGGUAAAAUCCGUAGAGAUUAAGAAGAAUACCCAUUGCGAAAGCGAUCUGCUGGAACCUAACUGACGCUGAGGCGUGAAAGCGUGGGUAGCAAACAGGAUUAGAUACCCUGGUAGUCCACGCCCUAAACGAUGUAUACUAGUUGUUGCUUUGCUAGUCAAGGCAGUAAUGCAGCUAACGCAUU
rnacentral:rRNA from 1 species